rnacentral:rRNA from 1 species
UAGGGAAUCUUCCACAAUGGACGAAAGUACUGAUGGAGCAACGCCGCGUGAGUGAAGAAGGGUUUCGGCUCGUAAACUCUGUAGUUAAAGAAGAACAUAUCUGAGAGUAACUGUUCAGGUAUUGACGGUAUUUAACCAGAAAGCCACGGCUAACUACGUGCCAC